rnacentral:rRNA from 1 species
UAGGGAAUCUUCCACAAUGGACGCAAGUCUGAUGGAGCAACGCCGCGUGAGUGAAGAAGGUUUUCGGAUCGUAAAGCUCUGUUGUUGGUGAAGAAGGAUAGAGGCAGUAACUGGUCUUUAUUUGACGGUAAUCAACCAGAAAGUCACGGCUAACUACGUGCCAGCAGCCGCGGUAAUACGUAGGUGGCAAGCGUUGUCCGGAUUUAUUGGGCGUAAAGCGAGCGCAGGCGGAAUGAUAAGUCUGAUGUGAAAGCCCACGGCUCAACCGUGGAACUGCAUCGGAAACUGUCAUUCUUGAGUGCAGAAGAGGAGAGUGGAAUUCCAUGUGUAGCGGUCGAAUGCGUAGAUAUAUGGAAGAACACCAGUGGCGAAGGCGGCUCUCUGGUCUGCAACUGACGCUGAGGCUCGAAAGCAUGGGUAGCGAACAGG